UACGAAGGUCCCAAGCGUUGUUCGGAUUUACUGGGCGUAAAGAGUCUGUAGGCGGCAUGGUAAGUCAGAUGUGAAAUCCCGGGGCUCAACCCCGGAACUGCAUCCGAUACUGCCAAGCUAGAGUAUUGGAGGGGAAUCUGGAAUUCUCGGUGUAGCAGUGAAAUGCGUAGAUAUCGAGAGGAACACUAGUGGCGAAGGCGAGAUUCUGGACAAUUACUGACGCUGAGAGACGAAGGCCAGGGUAGCGAAAAGG
rnacentral:rRNA from 1 species